GAAAAUGUAAAAGGUGAAGAAAGGAAACAGAAUAAAAAUAAGAAACAAAAUAUGCAGGAAGAAGAGGAUGAAAUUAAUGAGGAGGAAAUUCAGGAAGUUGAUACGAAGGAAAUCAAGAUGGAGGUUAAAAUGAAAAAAUUAAAUACGAAAAUGCAAGAAACAGAAGGGAAACAACUGCUGCCAGAAAUUUAAGAAGAAAGAAUAAGCAAAAAGCAAACGCUAGAGAAUUGCAGCAACUAAAAUUUAAUAAUAAUGGAAAGCAACGGUGGAAUAAUCGAACUGCUACACCAUAUGCUCGAUCAUAUCGACAAAGAUAUCCACCACAAGGAUUAUAUCCACAGACAGGCUAUCCAACACAAUUCUACCCGCAACAACAAAUGCCUUUUCCUAAUGCAUACAUACCACAAACGUAUUAUCAGCCACCUUACACAUCACAACCAUAUUAUCAACCACCAUACACACCACAAACAUUUUCCCAUCCACCAUACGCGACACAAACAUUUUACCCACCUCAAUCACCAUAUUCUCCGAGUUAUUAGGAAAUGUAUUUAUUGAAAAUAAAAAUAAAUAAAUAAAAUUUAAUAUUUAAAAUA